GACGAACGCUGGCGGCGCGCUUAACACAUGCAAGUCGAACGGAAAGGCCUGCUUUCCCUUGUGGAUUGCGGGUACUCGAGUGGCGAACGGGUGAGUAACACGUGAGUGAUCUGCCCCCAACUUGGGUAUAAGCCUGGGAAACUGGGUCUAAUUCCCGAUAGGACUGCAGGGUGGUGCCUGUGGUGGAAAACGAUUUUCUAGUGGUUGGGGAUGAGCUCGCGGCCUAUCAGCUUGUUGGUGGGGUAAUGGCCUACCAAGGCGGCGACGGGUAGCCGGCCUGAGAGGGUGGACGGCCACAUUGGGACUGAGAUACGGCCCAGACUCCUACGGGAGGCAGCAGUGGGGAAUAUUGCACAAUGGGCGGAAGCCAGAUGCAGCGACGCCGCGUGGGGGAUGACGGCCUUCGGGUUGUAAACUCCUUUCGACCGCGAGGAAGCCACCUGGUUGGAAGGGUGGUGACGGUAGUGGUAGAAGAAGCACCGGCUAACUACGUG
rnacentral:rRNA from 1 species